AGAGUUUGAUCAUGGCUCAGAUUGAACGCUGGCGGCAGGCCUAACACAUGCAAGUCGAACGGUAACAGGAAGCAGCUUGCUGCUUUGCUGACGAGUGGCGGACGGGUGAGUAAUGUCUGGGAAACUGCCUGAUGGAGGGGGAUAACUACUGGAAACGGUGGCUAAUACCGCAUAACGUCGCAAGACCAAAGAGGGGGACCUUCGGGCCUCUUGCCAUCAGAUGUGCCCAGAUGGGAUUAGCUUGUUGGUGAGGUAACGGCUCACCAAGGCGACGAUCCCUAGCUGGUCUGAGAGGAUGACCAGCCACACUGGAACUGAGACACGGUCCAGACUCCUACGGGAGGCAGCAGUGGGGAAUAUUGCACAAUGGGCGCAAGCCUGAUGCAGCCAUGCCGCGUGUAUGAAGAAGGCCUUCGGGUUGUAAAGUACUUUCAGCGGGGAGGAAGGUGUUGUGGUUAAUAACUGCAGCAAUUGACGUUACCCGCAGAAGAAGCACCGGCUAACUCCGUGCCAGCAGCCGCGGUAAUACGGAGGGUGCAAGCGUUAAUCGGAAUUACUGGGCGUAAAGCGCACGCAGGCGGUCUGUCAAGUCGGAUGUGAAAUCCCCGGGCUCAACCUGGGAACUGCAUUCGAAACUGGCAGGCUUGAGUCUUGUAGAGGGGGGUAGAAUUCCAGGUGUAGCGGUGAAAUGCGUAGAGAUCUGGAGGAAUACCGGUGGCGAAGGCGGCCCCCUGGACAAAGACUGACGCUCAGGUGCGAAAGCGUGGGGAGCAAACAGGAUUAGAUACCCUGGUAGUCCACGCCGUAAACGAUGUCUACUUGGAGGUUGUGCCCUUGAGGCGUGGCUUCCGGAGCUAACGCGUUAAGUAGACCGCCUGGGGAGUACGGCCGCAAGGUUAAAACUCAAAUGAAUUGACGGGGGCCCGCACAAGCGGUGGAGCAUGUGGUUUAAUUCGAUGCAACGCGAAGAACCUUACCUGGUCUUGACAUCCACAGAACUUUCCAGAGAUGGAUUGGUGCCUUCGGGAACUGUGAGACAGGUGCUGCAUGGCUGUCGUCAGCUCGUGUUGUGAAAUGUUGGGUUAAGUCCCGCAACGAGCGCAACCCUUAUCCUUUGUUGCCAGCGGUUAGGCCGGGAACUCAAAGGAGACUGCCAGUGAUAAACUGGAGGAAGGUGGGGAUGACGUCAAGUCAUCAUGGCCCUUACGACCAGGGCUACACACGUGCUACAAUGGCGCAUACAAAGAGAAGCGACCUCGCGAGAGCAAGCGGACCUCAUAAAGUGCGUCGUAGUCCGGAUUGGAGUCUGCAACUCGACUCCAUGAAGUCGGAAUCGCUAGUAAUCGUGGAUCAGAAUGCCACGGUGAAUACGUUCCCGGGCCUUGUACACACCGCCCGUCACACCAUGGGAGUGGGUUGCAAAAGAAGUAGGUAGCUUAACCUUCGGGAGGGCGCUUACCACUUUGUGAUUCAUGACUGGGGUGAAGUCGUAACAAGGUAACCGUAGGGGAACCUGCGGUUG
rnacentral:rRNA from 1 species